rnacentral:tRNA from 1 species
CCCAAUGAAGCUUUAACCAAAGCGCCAGCCUUUUAAGCCGGAGAAGGGCACCACGCCCCAUGGGGU